GCAGGGAGCCAGAAGGGAGCAUGGUCCGGAUCCUGCAGCAGCCUCAGCUCUGUGCCCUGCCUAGACCGCGAGCCUGCUCCCGCUGCCCCGGGCACUCCGCCUGGCACCACCCUUCCUGGCACUGGCUGGGCACCCACUAGGAGCCUCCCCGGCAGCGCGCACGAAGUCUGGACACUGCAGCCCGGUCCGUGCACUGGAGGGAGCGGAGGACAAGGACAGGAGCUGCCCGCGCCGCGCAGUGACCAGAAGAUCUCCUCGUUAGUACAUUGGGAUCACAGCAGUAAGGACAUACAGACAAGCUCUCCAUCCUGGAUAACGUCUGGUCCUCCUACUGGACACACAUAGAAGGGUCUGCUGCAGCAUCAUUUCAACGUAUAAAGGAAAUGUAACAUCCAAAGGACGGGCUGUGCUGACGUGCAAGAGGAAACCUUGUGUAGCACUCUCGGUAGCAGAAGAAUUGAAAAAAAGAGGGAGGAAGCUGCCCGUGUCGUCUACGUUCCAGGAUGUCGCGGCACAGCAGGUUCGAGAGGGAUUUCUGCGGAGGAUGGGAGAGAUGGGAAUGGAGCCCAAGUAGCAAUCAUAUGAACACGGGUAACGCCAACAGUAUAGUCAAUGGCAAUGGUAACAACAGGCCGGGACUGCUGCCUCUACCCAUCGUACCAUCCCGUCUUCCUACACCAACUUCUACCACUUCGACAACGGUUGGCAGUGAUGCUGUGACAAGCAACGCAAGCAACCCUUCUGCAGCUUUUGCG